AAGACAAUGGAAGUGGGGGUGCUAAAUCGGAGUUGGAUAAAUACAUUAGUGAAGAACAAGAGCCUUUUAGUGAAUAAUUUGAUAUCUUGAGUUGGUGGAAAACACAUGCACCUAGAUUUCCUAUUCUUUCAGAGUUGGCUCGUGAUGUGUUGACAAUUCCAAUUUCUAGUGUGGCGUCGGAAUGCACGUUUAGCACUGGUAGCCGUAUUCUUGAUUCAUUUAGGAGUUCAUUGACUACUAAAUGUGUGCAAGCUCUUAUUUGUGUUCAAGAUUGGAUUAGAGAAGAGAAGAAUCCUAUUAGUGUUGAAGAAGACUUGAAGUAUCUUGAGGAACUCGAGCUUGGUUCAAGUUCAAGUGCAAUCAUGCCCCGUGCUACUACUCAACGCUCUGAUAUUUGGGAAUACUUUGUGGUGAAAGAAGAUAACGGAGAAGUUCGCAAGUUUGUUGUCUGCAGACUGCAGUUUGGACUGCAGUUUAGCAUCUGCAGACUGCAGUUGUGCAAGUUAGCAUCUGCAGUUUAACUGUUUAACAAUUUUAAGUGUUCAGCUGCCAUGUGUUUAAGUUUGGACUCUGUUUUUAACUUUUUACUGCACUAUCAGUGUUAAGUGUUAACUAUUAAGUUGAUUGCCAGAUCUGGCGUGCAAGUUUGCAUCUGCAGUUGCCAGAUUGUGAAAUUGUUGUCUGCAGAAUGAUAUGCUAUCCUUGUUUCAGGCUUUCAGCCAUGAGCCAUGUGCAGUUGUGCAUAUUGUGCAAAGUGCAAACACUUUAGAAUUUCGAUUGGGCAAACACUGCAUUUGUUGGACUGUUUUUAUUGCACCGGGUUAAUGUGUUUAGCAUCUGUAGACUGCAGUUGUGCAAGUUAGCAUCUGCAGUUUAACUGUUUAACAGUUUAAGUGUUCAGCUGCCAUGUGUUUAAGUUUGGACUGUGUUUUUAUUGCACUGUGAGUGUUAAGUGUUAACUAUUAAGUUGAUUGCCAGAUCUGGCGUGCAAGUUUGCAUCUGCAGUUGCCAGAUUGUGAAGUUGUUGUCUGCAGAAUAAUAUGUUAUUCUUGUUUCA